rnacentral:rRNA from 1 species
AUUGAACGCUGGCGGCAGGCCUAACACAUGCAAGUCGAGCGUGAAAGGGCUUCGGCCUGAGUAAAGCGGCGGACGGGUGAGUAACGCGUAGGAAUCUACCUGGUAGUGGGGGAUAACGUUCCGAAAGGGACGCUAAUACCGCAUACGUUCCGAGGAAGAAAGCGGGGGAUCGCAAGACCUCGCGCUAUCAGAUGAGCCUGCGUCCGAUUAGCUAGUUGGUGGGGUAAAGGCCUACCAAGGCGACGAUCGGUAACUGGUCUGAGAGGAUGAUCAGUCACACUGGAACUGAGACACGGUCCAGACUCCUGCGGGAGGCAGCAGUGGGGAAUAUUGGACAAUGGGCGCAAGCCUGAUCCAGCCAUGCCGCGUGUGUGAAGAAGGCCUCGGUU